AAUGUACUCCCUCCGUCCGGAAAUAGUUGUCAUCAAAAUGAAUAAAAGGGGAUGUAUCUAGAUGUAUUUUAGUUCUAAAUACAUCCCUUUUUAUCCAUUUUGAUGACAAGUAUUUUCGGACGGAGGGAGUAUGUU
rnacentral:pre_miRNA from 1 species